rnacentral:rRNA from 1 species
CCUACGGGAGGCAGCAGUGGGGAAUCUUAGACAAUGGGGGCAACCCUGAUCUAGCCAUGCCGCGUGAGUGAUGAAGGCCUUAGGGUCGUAAAGCUCUUUCGCCUGUGAUGAUAAUGACAGUAGCAGGUAAAGAAACCCCGGCUAACUCCGUGCCAGCAGCCGCGGUAAUACGGAGGGGGUUAGCGUUGUUCGGAAUUACUGGGCGUAAAGCGCGCGUAGGCGGAUUAGAAAGUUGGGGGUGAAAUCCCGGGGCUCAACCUCGGAACUGCCUCCAAAACUGCUAGUCUAGAGUUCGAGAGAGGUGAGUGGAAUUCCGAGUGUAGAGGUGAAAUUCGUAGAUAUUCGGAGGAACACCAGUGGCGAAGGCGGCUCACUGGCUCGAUACUGACGCUGAGGUGCGAAAGUGUGGGGAGCAAACAGGAUUAGAUACCCUGGUAGUCCACACCGUAAACGAUGAAUGCCAGUCGUCGGAUAGUAUACUAUUCGGUGACACACCUAACGGAUUAAGCAUUCCGCCUGGGGAGUACGGUCGCAAGAUUAAAACUCAAAUGAAUUGACGG